rnacentral:rRNA from 1 species
CAGUCGCCGCGGGAAUACGUAGGGUGCGAGCGUUAAUCGGAAUUACUGGGCGUAAAGCGUGCGCAGGCGGUCGUGUAAGACAGGUGUGAAAUCCCCGGGCUUAACCUGGGAACUGCGCUUGUGACUGCACAGCUAGAGUAUGGCAGAGGGGGGUGGAAUUCCACGUGUAGCAGUGAAAUGCGUAGAGAUGUGGAGGAACACCGAUGGCGAAGGCAGCCCCCUGGGCCAAUACUGACGCUCAUGCACGAAAGCGUGGGGAGCAAACAGGAUUAGAUACCCCUGUAGUCCCUGUCUCUUAUAU